AUUGAACGCUGGCGGCAGGCUUAACACAUGCAAGUCGAGCGGGGGAGGUUGCUUCGGUAACUGACCUAGCGGCGGACGGGUGAGUAAUGCUUAGGAAUCUGCCUAUUAGUGGGGGACAACAUUCCGAAAGGGAUGCUAAUACCGCAUACGCCCUACGGGGGAAAGCAGGGGAUCUUCGGACCUUGCGCUAAUAGAUGAGCCUAAGUCGGAUUAGCUAGUUGGUGGGGUAAAGGCCUACCAAGGCGACGAUCUGUAGCGGGUCUGAGAGGAUGGUCCGCCACACUGGGACUGAGACACAGCCCAGACUCCUACGGGAGGCAGCAGUGGGGAAUAUUGGACAAUGGGCGGAAGCCUGAUCCAGCCAUGCCGCGUGUGUGAAGAAGGCCUUUUGGUUGUAAAGCACUUUAAGCGAGGAGGAGGCUCUUAAGGUUAAUACCCUGCAAUUUUGACGUUACCGACAGAAUAAGCACCGGCUAACUCUGUGCCAGCCGCCGCAGUAAAAC
rnacentral:rRNA from 1 species